rnacentral:rRNA from 1 species
UACGGGGGGGGCAAGCGUUGUUCGGAAUUACUGGGCGUAAAGGGCUCGUAGGCGGCCAACUAAGUCAUACGUGAAAUCCCUCGGCUCAACCGGGGAACUGCGUGUGAUACUGGCGGGCUUGAAUCCGGGAGAGGAAUGCGGGAAUUCCAGGUGUAGCGGUGAAAUGCGUAGAUAUCUGGAGGAACACCGGUGGCGAAGGCGGCGAUUCUGGACCGGCAUUGACGCUGAGGCGCGAAAGCCAGGGGAGCAAACGGG